AUACGUAGGGUGCGAGCGUUGUCCGGAAUUACUGGGCGUAAAGAGCUCGUAGGUGGUUUGUCGCGUCGUCUGUGAAAUUCCGGGGCUUAACUCCGGGCGUGCAGGCGAUACGGGCAUAACUUGAGUACUGUAGGGGAGACUGGAAUUCCUGGUGUAGCGGUGAAAUGCGCAGAUAUCAGGAGGAACACCGGUGGCGAAGGCGGUUCUCUGGGCAGUAACGGACACUGAGGAGCGAAAGCAUGGGUAGCGAACAGGAUUAGGUACCCUGGUAGUCCAUGCCGUAAACGGUGGGCGCUAGGGGUAGGGGUCUUCCACGACUUCUGUGCCGUAGCUAACGCAUUAAGCGCCCCGCCUGGGGAGUACGGCCGCAAGGCUAAAACUCAAAGGAAUUGACGGGG
rnacentral:rRNA from 1 species